GCCGCUGAGCGAACCCCUGCAGGGUGCUGGGAGCACUGGGGGCAGGGAGGAUGGGACGUUUUGGAAGCCAGAGCCGGCGUUUGCGGAGCUGGAGAAGAGACUCAGCGAUUUCUCUCUGCAAAGUGCCAUGCUGCAGGAGGUGCUGCUGGGAUUCAAAGAGACGCUGCAACGGGAGCUGGGGAGCGACACAGGCUACAGAAUAACGUCCAC